UGUUAAAAAUUUCAUCCAUAGUUACUAUUAAAAUUGGCAUGGUUGACAAAAUAACUAGAUAGUUACUUGUAACAUGUCACAUGUGCCUCACGUUGAUGUACAGGGUCCAGUUUUUAACAGUAAAAAUAGAUUGUUAAAA
rfam:Gossypium raimondii Chr11_contig_5, whole genome shotgun sequence.